GACACUGUUUUCUUUUCAGAAGAACUGUCCAGGACUGAGAAGAAAGAAUUUAUUUGUUUCUCUUUAAAAUAUCAGGUCAUGUAGGAUUGAGACUCUCCAGGGAUUCAGGAGAAACGAGCACAAUGUCUGACAGCCACGAUGUUUGGGAAUCACCAGGUUGUGGGACGAGGGACGUGCUUGAGGACAAUAAAGACACCAGUGGAUUUUCUGAACAUGAACUCCUUGAUAUCAUGUAUAAUGCAUGUCAUACCUCAAACUCAGGAGCAGUGUUGGCCUCCACUCUCAUGCAGUAUCUGCAGACCAUGACU